rnacentral:rRNA from 1 species
UACGUAGGUGGCAAGCGUUGUCCGGAAUUAUUGGGCGUAAAGCGCGCGCAGGCGGUCCUUUAAGUCUGAUGUGAAAUCUUACGGCUCAACCGUAAGCGGUCAUUGGAAACUGGGGGACUUGAGUGCAGAAGAGGAAAGUGGAAUUCCGGGUGUAGUGGUGAAAUGCGUAGAGAUCCGGAGGAACACCAGUGGCGAAGGCGACACGCUGGGCCGUACCUGACACUGAACCGCGACAGCAUGGGGAGCAAACAGG